rnacentral:rRNA from 1 species
GACGAACGCUGGCGGCGUGCUUAACACAUGCAAGUCGAACGGAAAGGCCCUGCUUUUGUGGGGUGCUCGAGUGGCGAACGGGUGAGUAACACGUGAGUAACCUGCCCUUGACUUUGGGAUAACUUCAGGAAACUGGGGCUAAUACCGGAUAGGAGCUCCUGCUGCAUGGUGGGGGUUGGAAAGUUUCGGCGGUUGGGGAUGGACUCGCGGCUUAUCAGCUUGUUGGUGGGGUAGUGGCUUACCAAGGCUUUGACGGGUAGCCGGCCUGAGAGGGUGACCGGCCACAUUGGGCCUGAGAUACGGACCAGACGCCUACGGGAGGCAGCAGUGGGGAAUAUUGCACAAUGGGCGGAAGCCUGAUGCAGCAACGCCGCGUGCGGGAUGCCGGCCUUCGGGUUGUAAACCGCUUUCGCCUGUGACGAAGCGUGAGUGACGGUAAUGGGUAAAGAAGCACCGGCUAACUACGUG